AAAGUAAUAAUUAAAAUAUAAAAUAGUUAUGUAGUAAAUUAUAAUUAAAUCAAUCUUAUAUUGUAAUAUAUUUUAAUUCAAUUUAUGUUUCAAUAUUGUAAACAUUUGCAUUAGAAAUGAAAUGGAGCUACAGAAGCAAUGAAACAAAAUAUAUUUCAAUUCCAAUCACCGAAUCAAAUGACCAGAAUGUUUGCGUUAAAUCUUUCUAUAGCUCCCUCCACCACCACCUCUUGUUAUUUCCACUUUCCUAUUUUUGUUUUACCUCUUUCUUAACUUUUCUAUUUCUAUUUUAUCCUUUUCUGUUUCUAUUUUAUCCUUUAUUACAAUUUUACUUUAAGGUUUAAUACUUUUUAACAUCUAUUCACUCUAAUUCUUUGUUUCUUCUUCUUCUUUUAUCUCAUCAUCCAAACAACACAACCAUUUUAACGGUGAAUUCAUAUUUUUAUAUUUCAUUUUCUUCUGUCUCUCUAUGUUUUUUAUGUUUCUUUCCAUUAUUGUAUCUUUUAAACUUUCUGAUUGUAUAUCUUACUCACACC
rnacentral:lncRNA from 1 species